ensembl:misc_RNA
GCAACAGCACUGGAAACAGAAGUCAUCUGUUUAUCCAAAGACCAGGUAUAGCAUGGACAGUGGCAGCAAAAACAUCCCCACCACUGCCUCUCCAAUGCUGCUCAGUCCUGAUCCUGAUAAGCAUUUUCAUGGCUGGGAGGGUAGUUUCAUUUCUGUGGCCAUUCACUAUUUGGCCUCU